UGAGUAACCCGCCCUUAACUCUGGGAUAAGCCUGGGAAACUGGGUCUAAUACCGGAUAUGACUCCUCAUCGCAUGGUGGGGGGUGGAAAGCUUUAUUGUGGUUUUGGAUGGACUCGCGGCCUAUCAGCUAGUUGGUGUGGGUAAUGGCCCACCAAGGCGACGACGGGUAGCCGGCCUGAGAGGGUGACCGGCCACACUGGGACUGAGACACGGCCCAGACUCCUACGGGAGGCAG
rnacentral:rRNA from 1 species